rnacentral:misc_RNA from 1 species
AACGCACCUUGCGCCUUUUGGUAUUCCGAAAGGCAUGCCUGUUUGAGUGUCAUGAAACCUUCAACCCCCGAGUUUUGUUCCCGGUGGGUUUGGACUUGGGCGCUGCCGAUCGCCGGCUCGCCUCAAAUGUGUUAGUGGACUAGGUCCUGCUGCCUGACGUGAUAAGUUUCGUCUCGCCGGCUGCCGACGCCCGCUCAUAACCCCCCAUAUUUUGUGCUCUGACCUCAAAUCAGGUAGGACUACCCGCUGAACUUAA